GAAGUGCGAAAAGUGUCAUGACUUGCAGAUUCCCGAGAGCUGACAAAUCUCUGAAUGCAAAUGGCGGCCGGACAAGACCGGCCAUGUAUUGUAGAGUGUAGAUGCUCCAGCACAUCAUCACGCCUCACUUUGAAGCGUGGAUCUGCGCUAGUGGUUUGACUUCGAGCGUGAAAUGGAAAGAGGAGUGUGUGGUGCUGAUGUUUGACAUCUGGCCAUUACACGCUUGGAUAUGGUUCACCAAUCUAACGGUGUCUUGUGUCUUAUGUUAUUUGGCGAAUUUCUGCCACUUCUUAGCUUCGAUAGUAUAUAUAUCAUAUAUAUCUAUGAGCCACCUCUACAAUGCAGGAUAACCCGCUGAACUUAA
rnacentral:misc_RNA from 1 species